rnacentral:rRNA from 1 species
ACGGCUCAGUAACACGUGGAGAACGUGCCCUUAAGUGGGGGAUAAUCUCGGGAAAUUGAGGAUAAUACCCCAUAGGUCAUGGGAUCUGGAAUGACCCAUGGCUGAAAGUUCCGGCGCUUAAGGAUCGCUCUGCGGCCUAUCAGGUAGUAGUGGGUGUAACGUACCCCCUAGCCUACGACGGGUAUGGGCCUUGAGAGAGGGAGCCCAGAGUUGGAUUCUGAGACACGAAUCCAGGCCCUACGGGGCGCAGCAGUCGCGAAAACUUCACACUGGGGGGAACCCCGAUGAGGGAAUUCCUAGUGCUUGGGCAUUUGUCCAAGCUUUUCCCGAGCGUAGAUAACUCGGGGAAUAGGGGCUGGGUAAGACGGGUGCCAGCCGCCGCGGUAAUACCUGCAGCCCGAGUGGUGGUCGAUUUUAUUGAGUCUAAAGCGUUCGUAGCCGGUCCGUUAAAUCCUUGGGUAAAUCGGGAAGCUCAACUUUCCGACUUCCGAGGAGACUGGCGGACUUGGGACCGGGAGAGGCCAGAGGUACUUCUGGGGUAGGGGUAAAAUCCUGUAAUCCUAGAAGGACCACCGGUGGCGAAGGCGUCUGGCUAGAACGGAUCCGACGGUGAGGGACGAAGCCCUGGGUCGCAAACGGGAUUAGAUACCCCGGUAGUCCAGGGUGUAAACGCUGCCGACUUGGUGUUGGGGGCCCUUCGGGGGAACUCAGUGCCGGAGAGAAGUUGUUAAGUCGGCCACUUGGGGAGUACGUCCGCAAGGAUGAAACUUAAAGGAAUUGGCGGGGGAGCACAAUCUUCAUGGUC